rnacentral:tRNA from 1 species
GCUGUGAUUGUCUGAUGGCCAGGACCCCAUGUUGUGGCUGUGGUAACCCGGGUUCAAAUCCUGGAUAUAGCA